rnacentral:rRNA from 1 species
AGCGAACGCUGGCGGCAGGCUUAACACAUGCAAGUCGAGCGGGCAUCCUUGUGGUGUCAGCGGCAGACGGGUGAGUAACGCGUGGGAACGUGCCCAUCGAUUCGGAAUAACUCAUGGAAACUUGUGCUAAUACCGGAUACGAUCGAGAGCAGAAAGGUCUAUCUGCCGAAGGAUCGGCGCGCGUCUGGUUAGCUAGUUGGUGAGGUUAUGGCUCACCAAUGCGACGAUCAGUAGCUGGUCUGAGAGGAUGAUCAGCCACACUGGGGCUGAGACACGGCCCAGACUCCGACGGAGGGCAGGGGUAGGGAGUAUUAGAGGAGGGAGGCAAAUCCAGCACAGCCAUGCCGGGUAUGACGUGCCUGCGUUUGGAUUGUAAUGCUGUUUGUGCCGAAGCGAGAAUGACGGUAACGGGUAAAGAAGCCCCGGCUAACUACGUG